AUUUUGUUGUUUCAACAAUUUUGCCCUCCUUGAAAUCCUUGUUUCAGAAGGAGAAAAAAAUGUCUCAUAAUCAAGCAGAGAUGGAUGAACAAGCUGCAAGAGAGAAGGCCCUUGAAGAAUGGCUUACAAUCACUUCGUCAAGAACUGCCAAAUGGUGGUACUCUGCAUUCCAUAAUGUCACGGCCAUGGUAGGAGCCGGCAUCCUCAGCUUUCCAUAUGAUGGGGUCCCGAGGUGACCAUGUUAGUCCUGUCAUGGAUUGUCACCCUGUACAUGUGGCAAAUAGUUGAGAUGCACGAAAUGGUUCCUGGUAAGCGGUUCGAUAGAUACCAUGAAUUAGGCCAGCAUGCGUUUGGUGAAAAGCUUGGGCUCUGUAUUGUUGUACCCCAACAGCUUAUUGUGGAAGUUGGCACGUGCAUAGUCUAUAUGGUCACUGGAGGAAAUCAUUGAAGAAAUUCCAUGAAUCAGUUUGCCCCAACUGUGCACCAAUCAAGACCACUUACUUCAUCAUAUUUUCGCUUCUGCUAACUUUGUUCUCUCUCAUCUGCCCAACUUUAACUCCAUUUCUGUCGUCUCCUUGGCCGCAGCUGUAAUGUCCUUGAGUUACUCUACCAUUGCUUGGGCAGAGCUUCGCUUAAAAAAGGAGUUCAAGACAAUGUGAGCUAUGCUCCAAUAUCUAAAACCACAUCCGGAAACGUUUUUCACUUCUUCAGCGCCUUGGGUGAUGCAUUUGCCUUUGCCGGUCACAAUGUGGUAUUGGAGAUCCAAGCAACAAUUCCUUCCACCCCUGAAAAACCUUCCAAGAAACCGAUG